rnacentral:rRNA from 1 species
UACGAAGGGGGCUAGCGUUGCUCGGAAUCACUGGGCGUAAAGGGUGCGUAGGCGGGUCUUUAAGGCAGGGGUGAAAUCCUGGAGCUCAACUCCAGAACUGCCUUUGAUACUGAGGAUCUUGAGUGCGGGAGAGGUGAGUGGAACUGCGAGUGUAGAGGUGAAAUUCGUAGAUAUUCGCAAGAACACCAGUGGCGAAGGCGGCUCACUGGCCCGGUACUGACGCUGAGGUGCGAAAGCGUGGGGAGCAAACAGG